GAUGAACGCUGGCGGCGUGCCUAAUACAUGCAAGUCGAGCGAACAGACGAGGAGCUUGCUCCUCUGACGUUAGCGGCGGACGGGUGAGUAACACGUGGAUAACCUACCUAUAAGACUGGGAUAACUUCGGGAAACCGGAGCUAAUACCGGAUAAUAUAUUGAACCGCAUGGUUCAAUAGUCAAAGACGGUUUUGCUGUCACUUAUAGAUGGAUCCGCGCCGCAUUAGCUAGUUGGUAAGGUAACGGCUUACCAAGGCGACGAUGCGUAGCCGACCUGAGAGGGUGAUCGGCCACACUGGAACUGAGACACGGUCCAGACUCCUACGGGAGGCAGCAGUAGGGAAUCUUCCGCAAUGGGCGAAAGCCUGACGGAGCAACGCCGCGUGAGUGAUGAAGGUCUUCGGAUCGUAAAACUCUGUUAUUAGGGAAGAACAAAUGUGUAAGUAACUAUGCACGUCUUGACGGUACCUAAUCAGAAAGCCACGGCUAACUACGUG
rnacentral:rRNA from 1 species